CACGUAGGGUGCGAGCGUUGUCCGGAAUUAUUGGGCGUAAAGGGCUCGUAGGCGGUUUGUCGCGUCGGGAGUGAAAACUCAGGGCUUAACCCUGAGCCUGCUUCCGAUACGGGCAGACUAGAGGUAUGCAGGGGAGAACGGAAUUCCUGGUGUAGCGGUGAAAUGCGCAGAUAUCAGGAGGAACACCGGUGGCGAAGGCGGUUCUCUGGGCAUUACCUGACGCUGAGGAGCGAAAGUGUGGGGAGCGAACAGG
rnacentral:rRNA from 1 species